rnacentral:rRNA from 1 species
UACAGAGGUCUCAAGCGUUGUUCGGAUUCAUUGGGCGUAAAGGGCGCGUAGGCGGUGGGGUAAGUCUGGUGUGAAAUCUCGGAGCUCAACUUCGAAAUUGCACUGGAUACUGCUCUGCUAGAGGGCUGGAGAGGAGAUCGGAAUUCACGGUGUAGCAGUGAAAUGCGUAGAUAUCGUGAGGAAGACCAGUGGCGAAGGCGGAUCUCUGGACAGCUCCUGAGCUGAGGCGCGAAGGCUAGGGGAGCAAACGGG